UACGUAUGGGGCGAGCGUUGUCCGGAAUUAUUGGGCGUAAAGGGCACGCAGGCGGUCCUUUAAGUCUGAUGUGAAAUCUUGCGGCUUAACCGCAAGCUGUCAUUGGAAACUGAAGGACUUGAGUGCAGAAGAGGAGAGUGGAAUUCCACGUGUAGCGGUGAAAUGCGUAGAGAUGUGGAGGAACACCAGUGGCGAAGGCGACUCUCUGGUCUGCAACUGACGCUGAGGUGCGAAAGCGUGGGUAGCAAACAGGAUUA
rnacentral:rRNA from 1 species